GAUGAACGCUGGCUACAGGCUUAACACAUGCAAGUCGAGGGGAAACGGCAUUGAGUGCUUGCACUGAAUGGACGUCGACCGGCGCACGGGUGAGUAACGCGUAUCCAACCUUCCCGUUACUGCGGGAUAACCUGCCGAAAGGCAGACUAAUACCGCAUGUUCUUCGAUGACGGCAUCAGAUUCGAAGCAAAGAUCCGUCGGUAACGGAGGGGGAUGCGUCUGAUUAGCUAGUUGGCGGGGCGACGGCCCACCAAGGCGACGAUCAGUAGGGGUUCUGAGAGGAAGGUCCCCCACAUUGGAACUGAGACACGGUCCAAACUCCUACGGGAGGCAGCAGUGAGGAAUAUUGGUCAAUGGGCGGAAGCCUGAACCAGCCAAGUAGCGUGCAGGAGGACGGCCCUACGGGUUGUAAACUGCUUUUAUGCGGGGAUAAAGUGAGGGACG
rnacentral:rRNA from 1 species